rnacentral:rRNA from 1 species
GAUGAACGCUGGCGGCGUGCCUAAUACAUGCAAGUCGAGCGAACAGACGAGGAGCUUGCUCCUUUGACGUUAGCGGCGGACGGGUGAGUAACACGUGGAUAACCUACCUAUAAGACUGGGAUAACUUCGGGAAACCGGAGCUAAUACCGGAUAACAUGUUGAACCGCAUGGUUCAACAGUGAAAGACGGUCUUGCUGUCACUUAUAGAUGGAUCCGCGCCGCAUUAGCUAGUUGGUAAGGUAACGGCUUACCAAGGCAACGAUGCGUAGCCGACCUGAGAGGGUGAUCGGCCACACUGGAACUGAGACACGGUCCAGACUCCUACGGGAGGAAGCAGUAGGGAAUCUUCCGCAAUGGGCGAAAGCCUGACGGAGCAACGCCGCGUGAGUGAAGAAGGUCUUCGGAUCGUAAAACUCUGUUAUUAGGGAAGAACAAAUGUGUAAGUAACUAUGCACGUCUUGACGGUACCUAAUCAGAAAGCCACGGCUAACUACGUG